GCUGCUGCUGCAGGCGGAGAGGAGUCUGCUGCCACUCUUCAUCCACAUGAAUGAGGACAUCCCCAACGUGGCGCAGGCUGCUCAGAAAGCUCUGAUCCACGCCGCCAAGCUCCUGGGCUGGCAGCAACUGCAACGCUUGGCCUGUGCGGCGGAGGUCUGGAUGAUUGCUGACUGCCUGCUUCAGAAGAGGGGCAGAGAUGCGGAGCAGUACCUGAAGGACACGGUGCUGCACCUGCACAGCCCCCAGGUGCCCGUGAGGGACACGGC